AGUGAACGCUGGCGGUAGGCCUAACACAUGCAAGUCGAACGGCAGCACAGGAGAGCUUGCUCUCUGGGUGGCGAGUGGCGGACGGGUGAGGAAUACAUCGGAAUCUACUCUGUCGUGGGGGAUAACGUAGGGAAACUUACGCUAAUACCGCAUACGACCUACGGAUGAAAGCAGGGGAUCUUCGGACCUUGCGCGAUUGAAUGAGCCGAUGUCGGAUUAGCUAGUUGGCGGGGUAAAGGCCCACCAAGGCGACGAUCCGUAGCUGGUCUGAGAGGAUGAUCAGCCACACUGGAACUGAGACACGGUCCAGACUCCUACGGGAGGCAGCAGUGGGGAAUAUUGGACAAUGGGCGCAAGCCUGAUCCAGCCAUACCGCGUGGGUGAAGAAGGCCUUCGGGUUGUAAAGCCCUUUUGUUGGGAAAGAAAUCCAGCUGGCUAAUACCCGGUUGGGAUGACGGUACCCAAAGAAUAAGCACCGGCUAACUUCAUGCCAGCAGCCGCCGCAG
rnacentral:rRNA from 1 species